CCGGACAUCACUGGGAAUGACUGGAUGGUGCAGACUUUGGAUCCAUGAUUACGGUGUUCUGGGAGAGAAGCAACAUUUAAAGAAGGUAAACUGGAAUUAAGAAUUGUAUGAUCCAGAGUAGGAGCCACUGCAGGAAGGACCUGAUCUUGACUUGGAGCAGGUAUGUGACCUCCUAAAGUAAGAUGAAGUACGACAGUGAGGCUUGGAUCUUAAAACAAACACAACACACACACACAAAUGGAAGUUAAUUCAAAACCAUCGUUCUCUCUAAAUUUUUUCCUCCCAAGCUUGGUUUGGGUUUUCUUCUCUUUCAGCUGCCAACAUAAUGCUGCUGCAAACUGAAGAGAUAACAUAGUUCAAUCAUUUGCUGCCCGAACAUGGACCCUGUGCUGUGCUUCCUGCUGAUCCGGGGAGUCUCUGGGACCUUCACGCCAGGGCUGGGGAUAUCCCAGAAAGGAACCACAGAUCCCAGACCAACUCGGGGCCUUGACCCUCCAUGAGAUCCAAAUCAUCUACCUGAGCAGGAUCUAUUAACCAAAUACCAGCGGUUGGUUUUGUUUGGAAUGAAACAGAAGGAUACAGCAUACUUACAGUUCACAGCUUGUUCUGGCACCUGGGCAGUGCAUGGUACUGUCUGUCCUCGGAGGACCUUUUGGAGAGGGGAGAAUCAAAAAAGCCCAUUCAGCUUAUCUGAAGAAGAUGAGAUGUGAUGUUUUCAAUUAACAACAUGGGAAUAACACUUACACUCGUCACAAUAACUGCUUCCACAGCAGGGAAGAACAGCUGCAUCAGUCAUUAUGUCUUUACAAAUGAGACAUAACAGCUCAUCUGGAACAGGACCAUCAGAAGAGGAGGAGGAUGGCUCCUCUGGUAAAGAUGGAGGCCUUUUCCUCUUUUCUCUAGCAUAAGCUUCCCUGGAGGGUGUGUGGGGAAGGAAAAAGAACAAAUUUAAAGAUGGGUAAAGGAAUACUUGUCCAAGCUUUGCGUUUUAUCAAAAGAAGAUACUAGAUGGAAUUCUUCUCACUCCACAUUACCCUUCUGAACUGUAGGCACUGAGCUGAAACUACUUCUCUAUAGCCAUAACUCUGUAAAAUAAAAACCCGGAGGGGGAGGAAAUCUCAAUCCAA